UGGGGAAUAUUGCACAAUGGGCGAAAGCCUGAUGCAGCGACGCCGCGUGAGGGAUGACGGCCUUCGGGUUGUAAACCUCUUUCAGUAGGGACGAAGCGCAAGUGACUGUACCUGCAGAAGAAGCACCGGCUAACUACGUGCCAGCAGCCGCGGUAAUACGUAGGGUGCGAGCGUUGUCCGGAAUUACUGGGCGUAAAGAGCUCGUAGGCGGUUUGUCACGUCGUCUGUGAAAUCCUAGGGCUUAACCCUGGACGUGCAGGCGAUACGGGCUGACUUGAGUACUACAGGGGAGACUGGAAUUUCUGGUGUAGCGGUGGAAUGCACAGAUAUCAGGAAGAACACCGAUGGCGAAGGCAGGUCUCUGGGUAGUAACUGACGCUGAGGAGCGAAAGCAUGGGUAGCGAACAGG
rnacentral:rRNA from 1 species